rnacentral:rRNA from 1 species
UACGUAGGGUGCGAGCGUUAAUCGGAAUUACUGGGCGUAAAGCGUGCGCAGGCGGUCUCGCAAGUCCGAUGUGAAAUCCCCGGGCUCAACCUGGGAACUGCGUUGGAAACUAGCGGGCUGGAGUGUGGCAGAGGGGGGUGGAAUUCCACGUGUAGCAGUGAAAUGCGUAGAGAUGUGGAGGAACACCGAUGGCGAAGGCAGCCCCCUGGGCUAACACUGACGCUCAUGCACGAAAGCGUGGGGAGCAAACAGG